GGUUCCAUAGUGUAGCAGUUAGCACGUCUACUUUACACCCAGAAGGUCCUGGGUUCGCACCCCAGUAAAGCUA
rfam:Pteropus alecto contig94337, whole genome shotgun sequence.